GAUGAAGAACGCAGCGAAAUGCGAUACUUGGUGUGAAUUGCAGAAUCCCGUGAACCAUCGAGUCUUUGAACGCAAGUUGCACCCGAAGCCGUCAGGCCGAGGGCACGCCUGCCUGGGCGUCACACGCCGUUGCCCACCCCGCGCCCCGCACCCAACUCUUUGGGAGCGACCGCGGGGCGGGCUGAUGAUGGCCUCCCGUGCGCUCCGCCGCGCGGUUGGCCCAAAUACCGCGUCCCCGGCGACGUGCGCCACGACGAUCGGUGGUUGAGAGACCUCUGUCGCAAGUCGUGCGCGCCCGUCGCGUCACGCGGGCUCGCAUAGCGCCUCGCGCCGCACCCGGUGCGGAGCUUUCAACGCGACCCCAGGUCAGGCGGGGUUACCCGCUGAAUUUAAGCAUAUCAAUAAGCGGAGGA
rnacentral:misc_RNA from 1 species